UGCGUAGGCGGGCUAAUAAGUCAGUGGUGAAAUCUCUCGGCUCAACCGGGAAACUGCCAUUAAUACUGUUAGUCUUGAGUUCGGUUGAGGUAGGCGGAAUGUGUAAUGUAGCGGUGAAAUGCUUAGAUAUUACACAGAACACCAAUUGCGUAGGCAGCUUACUAGACCGACACUGACGCUGAGGCACGAAAGCGUGGGGAGCGAACAGGAUUAGAUACCCUGGUAGUC
rnacentral:rRNA from 1 species